rnacentral:misc_RNA from 1 species
GAGAAGUGACGGACAGAGACAAGUACAGGACGAUUGGACAAAACCCUGGUUAUCUAAUAUUUUUGGCACAUAAUUGAGAGACAAAAAAUUGAUCAAAGUUAAAGAGCACCGAAGUUUUUGAGGCCUAUAUGACUUGACAUCUAUUGAACAGGGAAAAUUCAUUCUGAAUUCUCAGAGCAGGCAAGUAAACCAGCGAAAGCUGAUAACAUGAAAAUAUGAUAACUAGUGACAGCAUUGAGUAAAGGUUCACCUUUGCCGAACCCCACCACCUAA